rnacentral:lncRNA from 1 species
GUCUGCCAGGGAUCCCCAAAGUAACUGUUGUACAACUCCACUUAAGACCAAAGAGUCCCUGGUACCUGCUUAGAAGUGGCUUCUGCCUCCACAUCACCCUGGUGUCCGUGUGACCUCUGCAGUGUUCUGCAGCUGUAGUUUAGUCUGAAGAGCUCCAACCACAGCCCCUUCUGCUGCCACUAGGCUGGGGGCCAGCCCUGCUCUCCCCACUACAGCCCUGCUUUUAUUGUGGGUUUUUGUGUGCUUUGGAAUUCGCCCAGCCAUUGCAAUCCACCCGAGUGACACAGCCCUGUCUCUCCAGCAUGCAUGACUUGGGCCGGAGGCACUCCUGGGCGGCGACGACACCUCCGGCACUGUGCCGGGCCUGGGGGACACAAAGUGCUGCGUCGUGCUGCAAGGAGCAGUCACGCGCAUGAGGAAUGGCAUCAGCAUUGCAAGAUAUAGCUAGAGAGAAGAAUGAAAGAGACACUGAAGUCCCAGGAGCCUGGGUGCACUCCAGGACUAGUGGCCAUGAAAGGCUGGCUGCUCACUUCCUCUGCUUGUCCAGAUCCAGGCUCUGGAUGAAGAACUAGCUGUGCCGCGUGACGGAGGUUUAACCUCAGGACAUGGUGCCUGGAUGAGAGGUCCUGCUCCCUAUGUAGACAGUGCUGAGUGAGACUGUCCACACUCACCACCAUGGAGGUGGGAAGUGGAUUACAAACCCCUGUGCACAGGGUGCACACGGGCCACAGCUCCUUCCCCACUGCACACAGAUGUCCAGAACAUUACCUGGUAGCCUCUUUCAUAUUACAAACUUCUGGAGGAAGAGAUGAAAAAUUUCAAAUUUGCUCUGCAGAACAAAAAUUGUCCCUUUAAAGAUGAAUGUGCAGCUGUGCCCAGUGCUGAUGGAGUCAUAGCACAGACCAGGGAUUAGUAAACGGUGUGUGCCCCAUUAAGACUAAACAAGCCCCUGCUCAUUAGAGCCCUAAUUGCAGUGGUUAUAUCAAAGCCCCACAGACCUCACCAGUGUCUAGUUCAGCUCUGUGUGUUACAUAGGUGCCUGGCGUCAUCUUCCCACCUGCUGAAAUGAAAGAUUCUUGGAAUAUCCAUGUGUGUAAAACAUGUUUGUGAUGCAAAUAUGAAGGUACCCUUUCAUCCCGUCCCCACUUUGAUGUCAUGGUAG